UACAGAGGUCUCAAGCGUUGUUCGGAUUCAUUGGGCGUAAAGGGUGCGUAGGUGGCGGGGUAAGUCAGGUGUGAAAUCUCGAGGCUCAACCUCGAGCUGUCGGUGGAAACCGUGUGGCUAGAGUCCGGAAGAGGAGAGUGGAAUUCCCGGUGUAGCGGUGAAAUGCGCAGAUAUCGGGAAGAACACCCGUGGCGAAGGCGGCUCUCUGGGACGGUACUGACGCUGAGACGCGAAAGCGUGGGGAGCGAACAGG
rnacentral:rRNA from 1 species